rnacentral:rRNA from 1 species
GACGAACGCUGGCGGCGUGCUUAACACAUGCAAGUCGAACGGAAAGGCCCUGCGUUUGUGGGGUGCUCGAGUGGCGAACGGGUGAGUAACACGUGAGUAACCUGCCCUUGACUUUGGGAUAACUUCAGGAAACUGGGGCUAAUACCGGAUAGGAGCUCCUGCUGCAUGGUGGGGGUUGGAAAGUUUCGGCGGUUGGGGAUGGACUCGCGGCUUAUCAGCUUGUUGGUGGGGUAGUGGCUUACCAAGGCUUUGACGGGUAGCCGGCCUGAGAGGGUGACCGGCCACAUUGGGACUGAGAUACGGCCAAGCCUCCUACGGGAGGCAGCAGUGGGGAAUAUUGCACAAUGGGCGGAAGCCUGAUGCAGCAACGCCGCGUGCGGGAUGACGGCCUUCGCGUUGUAAACCGCUUUCGCCUGUGACGAAGCGUGAGUGACGGUAAUGGGUAAAGAAGCACCGGCUAACUACGUG